AUGCUAGUAGCGGCGAGUGAGCGGCAAAAGCUCAAAUUUGAAAUCUGGCGUCUUUGGCGUCCGAGUUGUAAUUUGAAGAAGGUAUCUUUGGGCCCGGCUCUUGUCUAUGUUCCUUGGAACAGGACGUCACAGAGGGUGAGAAUCCCGUGCGAUGAGAUGACCCGGGUCUGUGUAAAGUUCCUUCGACGAGUCGAGUUGUUUGGGAAUGCAGCUCUAAGUGGGUGGUAAAUUCCAUCUAAAGCUAAAUAUUGGCGAGAGACCGAUAGCGAACAAGUACAGUGAUGGAAAGAUGAAAAGAACUUUGAAAAGAGAGUGAAAAAGUACGUGAAAUUGUUGAAAGGGAAGGGCUUGAGAUCAGACUUGGUAUUUUGCAUGCUGCUCUCUCGGGGGCGGCCGCUGCGGUUUACCGGGCCAGCAUCGGUUUGGAGCGGCAGGAUAAUGGCGGAGGAAUGUGGCACGGCUUCUGCUGUGUGUUAUAGCCUCUGACGAUACUGCCAGCCUAGACCGAGGACUGCGGUUUUUAACCUAGGAUGUUGGCAUAAUGAUCUUAAGUCGCCCGUCUUGAAACACGGACCCA
rnacentral:rRNA from 1 species